CAAGGGUGUUCUACCACCUAGAUAUACACCAGUGCUUUUUGACUUUUGAGUCACAUCUUGCUAAGUUGCCAAGGCUGGUUUUGAACUUAUGAUCCUCCUAACUCAUCCUCCCAAGUAGCUGGGAUAACAGACUCCCCUAAACUCACCUGGGUCCCACCUCUCAAAGGCUCCAUCGCAACCAUCCAAUAGCAUUAAUCCAGGGACUAAGCCUUUAACACAUGGGCACUUGGGAGAUAUUCCAGAUCCAAGCCAUAGCAGCUUUCUCGCUGGUCUCUAACCUUCUGUAAUCUCAGGAGUAAUUGCACACAGUCCCUGUGCCUCCAUCGCUUCAGCCUCAGAGGAUCAAACUCUCCACAGCCUCUCAAAGAAACUGGACUAGAGGUAUAGGAAUGGGUAAAACAUCCCCAACUUUAGUGUAUGCCUGUGUUCAUCAGAAGGUGAAUAAGAGUCUAAUGAUUGUAAAAUUGUCUAAUACCUAUUGAUUCUUUUAUAUCCUCUUUGUGGACUAGGGAUUUGUGAAGCUGGCAGAAUUUGCAUGGUGAAACAAGUUCUAAAGCUUUGUCUGUAGAAAUCUCCAUCUUCAUUUGGUAACUCACUUGGUGAUUUUUCAGCUUUGAAAUCUUGGUGCUGGUCGUUAUUUCCUGAGGCAUGGCCCUUCUGAUUUAUUGGGGUUUUUGGGAGAUGCAGUGACAUCACUGAUGCUUGAUAGGUCCCAAGAAGAGUGCCC
rnacentral:lncRNA from 1 species